AGAGAAAAGAUCAAUCAGACAUGGAACCUAUAAAGAUCAUUUAAUGGUGGGCGCCAAGAUCCCUCUGGGAUCUCUUGUUUUGUAUCAAAAUAUGUAAUUAAAUCAACGACCACGUGAUCCGUCUGAUCACAUGAUCAAUCAGUCAAAAUUGUAGCGCCUUUUUGAUACGGGCUUCAUCAGAAACUCUGUAGUGUGAUGUUUGUCACUAGAGUAUUUAUCAACACGAAUUAAAGGCAAGUUGCUUACAAGUUGUUAAUCUGUUUGUUCACAUGUUUACCUUAUUUUUUCUUUAAUUACUUAGGACUAAACUUUGUUUACCGUAAAUUACGAUUAACGUUAGUGAUUCAGAGCCUGAUCAGACUGCAUCAUUAGAACGAAGUCAUACCCUUCCUACACUGCUCUGAGGCAGACAUAUUGUCGUCCAGAUCUACGUUAUCGCAGCUAGUAUUUCAUAAAAAAAACAUGUAUCAUGGGUCAGUGAUCUUAUAAAGCUUACAAAACUAUCGCAUCUGUUAGUCGUAGUGGUCAUUCCGACAUUCGUGAUGUUUACACCGACUGCACUCUUCCUUCACGAAGAAUAUACAGAAUUUGGAAUUUCUGGGAUAAUAUUAACUGCAGUUGGUUAUAGUAUUAAUAAUAAAGACUCAUACCAUAGACAUCUACAUUCAGUUAUCAUAACUAAUUACAAUUGGAAUACUCGCCGAUAAGUCAACAAAAGAAGGUAUCAAUAGCUGUAUUUGAUAUGUUAAUAUAUACAUAUCAUUUUCUAAUGACGUUUUCAUGUAAUGUGCUGAUGUUGUGAGAUGUUUUUGGGUAGUUUUUGGGUGUUUUUGGGUAAAUCGUUCUGCCGCCAGAGCGCGCUACUAUAAGAAAACGUGGAAUUAUAUCCGACACCGUUUAGUGUCGCUAAGAAUUUGGUGCAAAUACAAUAAAAUCGGGUGUGACAUAACACGUACCUUACAUUUAUGGAUAAAUGAGAUAUUUAUUUACCCAAGAACACCCAUUUAGUCCCAUGUAGGUGUUUUAUUCCAUCCGUAUAGACCUUCGCUUUACGCUAGUUAAAAUUUCAUACUUGACUCGUCGCCAUAUUGCUAACUAUGUAGGUCGCGGUCAGCCAAUUACCCUAAUCAGUGCGUGAUGGAGUGAAAAGGGAAAAAAAUACAACAUUUAUUUUUUUAUAUAUUUUACCCCUUAUAAUUAAUAAAUAAUGAAUUUUUGAAUUUAAUAUAAUUCACACAGGUUUUGGGAAAUAAUAAGCUUAGUUUUCUUAAUUUAAACUAUGCAGGAAGAAAAACACAAUAAAGCAUAUGUGGUCUUUUCGGUCCAUUGCAUUCCGAUUCCGGUGGUGACAGGGCCAGAGUAAAAUUGGGCUAAUUAAUAAAAUGAAAAAUAAUUUUAGAUAAUCAAAAUUUAUACCAAUUGCAUACCAUAUACUACUUUUUGAAGUAUAUAUAUAUAUAUAUAUAUAUAUGUGUGUGUCACAAACAGAUUCUGAUGACCAGAAAUGAUAAUGUUAAAUCAGUGUUUAUGGACUGGCUAUUUGUGUUUUAAGUAGAAUAUAUAUUCCUAUUACAGCUGCAGGCAGAUGUCAGCAACGUAAAAAUGUGAACAGGAAUCAAGGUCCACAGAGUUGGUCUGUUGCAGAACAACAGGCUGUGUUACGGCAUCUAGGAAAACUGAUUCUUUCUGGGAAACUUCCUGGAAAACUUGUUUGUGAAGACGUGAUAAAAAAGGAAGCCAUCCUUCACAGAAGACCAUGGCAGCAAAUAAAACAUUUUAUCAGAAACAAAAUAACCAGCAAAACCAGGAAAAACAACCCUGUGUUAUUACCAUUCUCUUGAAGUCUCAAUCUGAGAGCACUUUUUGUGCGAGGAAAAAUGACCGGUGUUUUAUUCUUACAUGUACAUUGAUUCAACUCAUUUUCAGUUAGCCUAUUUGCCUAUUGCAUCACCCCAGUGUCAGCAUUGCAAAGUUAAAGUUUUGCUGCGCGUAAUUAUCCCCUUGUGACGAAUGUCAGAGGGGAUAUGGGGAUGUUACUUUAAGGAUGUAACUAAUUAUAUAAGAAAUGCCCCUUGUCAGUGCUUUAGCAGCUUCAUUCCUUGAGGGAUUUAGAUCAAAUUUCACACAAUAUAAGGAAUGUAAUAUCUCGGACAAAGUACGAGUUUCAGGGUUGCAAGGUCAAGGUCUCUUGCUAUUUUUAGAACAAUUUUUUUGAAAAUCUUUGUCAUGGCUUUAGCAUCUUUAUUCCUUGAGUUUUUUUUAUCAAACUUCACACAUUUAUAAAGGACUAUAAUAUCUAAGACGAGUUCAAGUUUUUGGGUUGUAGUGUAAAGGCUGUCUGUCUGAAAUAUUGUGUCAAGUAGAUUUAAAAAAGUGCUGAAGCUGUAUUUCUCAAAACAGGGUAACAACAUCCUUAUGAUAUGAAGUUGUGCCCUUUUGCUUUUCGUAAAAUUUUGCCAAUACUUGCUAGAGUUACGUCCCUUUUUUCUCCGAAAUAUUGUCAAGUAGAUCUAUGAAAGUACUGAAGUGACAUUUCUCAAAUUUGGCAUACAGCAUCAUUAUGAUAUAAAGUUGUACCCUUUUGCUUUCCGUAAAGUUUCGCCAUAACUUUAGAAUGCAUGUGACAUCACAUAAUGAAUGAUCAGUAAUCAAUCGAGGAUGGGUGGGAACGCUUGUAUUGCAAAGGGUGAUGAAGUGGAGGAAUAGGGGGUAUAAUUUAGCCAUUGGCUUACAGUUCUAGUUCAAAUAUUUUUAGAAAAUCUGUGUCAGCACUCUAGCAGCUUCAUUGUUAAGGGAUUUGGAUCAGACUUCACACACUAAUUAAGGACCACAAUAUCUUAGCGAUAUUAGGGGAACGGAUCUAUCACUUCAAAAAGAUUAAAAAGAUUACAUAUUUGAAGAACAUUUAAUAUAUACUCUUAAGUAAUGUAUCUCUUCUAGUAAAUGGAGUGUGUAAAAACAUAUGUAAUGUAACAUUUUGAAAACAGAUUGAAAGCACAGUUGUUUAUUAACUAACCAAAUGAAAAUCAGAGGGUUUAUAGUUAUUUUUAUAAGGCCAUCAAGCAUUUUGAUGGGACAUAGUAUGAUAUGGCAUUAUCUGUCGGUUCAUUGUAAAGAUAUGUUUUCAACUGAUUUGUUUAAAUCUUUAUGCUUUUAAAGUAGCAUUUUGAUUUAAGUUCUAAAAUGUUUCUUGCCUUUUGUUGUUUUUUUCUGUCUUUUUUAUCUUGUCUUGGGAUCUAUCUCAAUUUUGACUGAUCUCUUGUUCACUUGACAUGUUUUAUUAUUAUCUUUACAUUGUAGCUGUGCUGAAUUUGGAUUUGGGAUUCUUUUUACUGGUGGGUACCUUAAGUGUUCAAGAAAUUCGACUUUAGAAAGCACAUCAUGGUCAUAUUUAAUUAUGCAAAGUUUUACACGGCUUUUUAUAAAAUAUCAUUACACAAAAUGUUUUCGUUAUGAAAUCGCGAUCUACUUUACAACAGUAAAUAGUACAUGAACCAGUAUGUUAUCAAGCAAAAAAUAUAUCAAAAUGGGCUUGAAGAAAACAAGAUAGUUACAAUCGAAUUGUGAAUGACUUUUGAUAUGAUGACUAUUUCACAUGUAUGUCCUUUAUUGUUGAAUAAAGAUUCAAAUUCAAAAUAA